CUCAAAGGCCAUUAGGUUACGUCCGUGGAAGAUGGGGAUGAUAAUAAGGAAGACCAGGAACAAGAAGCAGAUGAAAAACACCACAGUCUGGAUCACCAUACCUGCCAGGAUAGCACAAACAUACAGACAAUUGCUGCUUGGUAUCCAGUCAAGCCCAUCCAACAGACAACACCAGAUUUCGAUGGACGGAGGUUCUUCUGGCUCUUGUAGAGGUUGUAAAUGUCUCCCUUGUACAGUCCCCACAGGUUGGACCUUAAACACAGAGCACAAGGGCCAUUUUCAUCCACUGAGGCCAUUUCACAAACCCAUUUAUUGACUGGUUCAUGAAGCAAAUUUGAAGCUUCAUUUUCCCAUCACUGGAUACAAUACAAUAAUUUCUUGGUAGAUUAGAAAUGUACUACCUGUGAAGCACCAUGGUCCUCAUGAGCAUGACCAGACUGACCAUGCAAGACAGGGUCAUUGCACAAAGGUAGCAGACUGAAAAAAAACCACACAGGAUUGAUCAAAACGUAAUUCAUUACCUCUAGCAAUCAAGAUGUAAUUUCGUUAGAAUGUCCCAAACCUUCCAGCAGCCAAGUAUAGAAAGUGACAAUUUUGACAACCUCCAUUCUAUCAUCAGAGAGGAUAAUCCCAAAUCCCAGUAAGAGGAAGGCGAUGUUCUCAUCAAUACCGGCACGGACAAUAUGAAGAGUUGGGACAACCAAUACAACUAAUAAAAGGGCUGUCUGAAAGACAAAAUGCUCUACUGUAAGGCAAACAGACUUUUAAUCCCAAGUAACAUUAUAGAGAAUUCAAUAAUUUGAGUACAUGGUCAUAAAAUGUGUCAUGAUGUUAGCUCACUCACAUGGUAGAUGGCCACCAAAGCCACAAAGACUGACACAGCCAAUUUUAGAGGAAAACGAAACACUGAAAGCGAGAUAAUAACAAAUUAGUUCAAUAAAAUGUUGCAGUAUCUCUGAAGUGAAGGGUGCACACCUUUUUCUGGGAUAUAAAUAUAACUCUUAGCCACAUCCAGCAGUCUCCUCACCAGUGUUGCUUUGUCGGAUGAGGACGAACUACACAAUUAAAAAAUAAUAAUAAUAAUUAAUCACAGCUUUCCAAGUUUUUAACCAGCAAUGUAGUGAAUUUAAGAAGAGCUGGUUUUAUUUGGCCCUUGAAACGUCCAUUCUGCCUUCAAAUGGCGAAAUCACAUUUGGAUCAGUAAAAUGCCGAACCAGCAAAAAUGGUUUCCAUUCACCUGAUUGCUGCUGGCUUCUUCUUUUUGAGAAGACCUUUUACAUAGUCACUGUAGUAACAGCUAUCCAGGUCCUGGAAGAGAAAUACUUUCAAACAAUAUUCUAUUAUCCUAUCACUGUAUGCUAGCAAAAUUGGAUGUUGAAACGAAACCUUGGAUUGAUAUUCUUAGCACAUGUGAGGAAGAAAAAAAAACAUCAGAGGUCUUGGAUAAUCCGCUCAAAGAUGCAGAGUAAUGUUCACAAAAAGCUCUUUAUUCUAAUCAUGAACGUGAUGCCUAACGUUGCACAAAUACAUGUUGUUCAGCAUCGCGUUUUAUGUCCCUUCUAGCUCAUUGUUAGAAAAAGAGAAGGUGAGAUUUGAGACAAACAUUUCUCACCUCUUCAGUCUUUGUUCCUCUGAUAAACAGCAAAGCAAACUGGACGCAAAGAUACGCCAGGCAAGCUAGCUGAGGCAAAGUCGCUAGCAAAGAGUAGAACUUAUACAGCUGGAAAAGAAACAAAUUGAUCAGAUGGUGAACAUAAACAAAUAUACUGAACGCAAAUUACCUCUGGAGUCUUUGGGCAGUCCAACUUUUGCCACAACUGGAUACCAAAAUGGCCGCCGGAGAGUAAAACCCCAAACACAUAACCGGCCUUAUGCUGUAGAGUGCUACAAACCAUCAGAGGGUAGUAGAGAACCGGAUAGUAGAAGAUGGCUGUUAUCUUCAUGAACUCUGAUUAAAUAUGGAGAUUAAAUCAAUGUAUCCUUUCUUGUUUCAUGUUUGUCCACUUGAGAUUUUGAUGUUUCUGGGCACCUUUGAUUUCAGCCGGAGUGUCCUUGGAGAAGGGCAACGGAUCGGGUGCAAUCACCAGCACGGCCAGUUUGCUGAACAGAAGUCCAAAGACAGCCAUCGCCACACCUUUGCUCUGUGUCUGGUCCAGGAAGUUGGUUGGACUACGAGAUGAGAGCCAAGAUGUUACCUGGCCGCUUGACUGGGGUAGUGCGAGCGGAUAUGUUGUCCCAGCAUUACGUGCGACUGAUCCUGAAGGUUCUCCACUUGUUCUGGAUCUUUUAGACCACGGGUCUCUGAGGACAACAAGAAGGAGUCGUUUCCUCACCAGGCUUAAAGAGCACAAUGGCCUUGAGGCAAGCGAACUCCGUGGGGUCGACGGCGAGUGCCUUAAAGCGACUGAAGACCUCCUGGAGGAGUCUCAGGUCCAGGCUGGUGUAGCUGGUCUUGCCCUGCGUACCCGGGCACAGGUCUGGCAAGGAGAGCAAGGGGCAGCUGUCCAGCGGCAGAGACCACUGGAUUGCACACAAGAGGAAGAGCUCGCUCCAUGCCUCCUCGAGUAGGAUCACCUGAAAGGCUUGGCGCAAGUCUCGGCCGUCAUGAGGCUGGCCAUGAAGCGGUGGUUGUUAUGUGGGCUGACGCAGCGUUGCGGGGGCACCGAGGAGGUGAUGGCGACGGACGAGGUGAUGUGGGGCCACGUGAUGACCGAGCCACUUGAGGAGGAGGACGAGGAAGAGGAGGAAGAGGAACAGGUGGGCUCCCGUG